rnacentral:rRNA from 1 species
AGUGAACGCUGGCGGUAGGCCUAACACAUGCAAGUCGAACGGCAGCACAGUAAGAGCUUGCUCUUACGGGUGGCGAGUGGCGGACGGGUGAGGAAUACAUCGGAAUCUACUUUUUCGUGGGGGAUAACGUAGGGAAACUUACGCUAAUACCGCAUACGACCUACGGGUGAAAGCAGGGGAUCUUCGGACCUUGCGCGAUUGAAUGAGCCGAUGUCGGAUUAGCUAGUUGGCGGGGUAAAGGCCCACCAAGGCGACGAUCCGUAGCUGGUCUGAGAGGAUGAUUCGCCACACUGGAACUGAGACACGGUCCAGACUCCUACGGGAGGCAGCAGUGGGGAAUAUUGGCCAAUGGGCGCAAGCCUGAUCCAGCCAUACCGCGUGGGUGAAGAAGGCCUUCGGGUUCUAAAGCCCUUUUGUUGGGAAAGAAAAGCAGCAGGUUAAUACCCCGCUGUUCUGACGGUACCCAAAGAAUAAGCACCGGCUAACUUCGUG